rnacentral:lncRNA from 1 species
GAAGUUGAAGGUGGCGGAGCCGACGGAGGAGUUGAAGCUGGCCUUGCCGGAUUUGCCGGCCAGCUUGUCUUCCAGAUCAGAGAAGUGGUCGGAGAGGUUGUUGCGGAAGAGUGGGAGGAAGGUUUCGUGCUUGGAGGCGAGGAAGUUAAGGUAGAAGCGCUUGAGGAGCGCGUGGGAGGGUUCGGUGGUGUCCUGGAAGGCACACGCGCGGUAACCGCCGGUGAAGGAGGUGGAAGGCAUGAAGGUGCCGUCGAGAACAUCGCGCUUAUCGACCUUGGAGUUGUCGAAUAGAAUGGGGAAGGAGACACCGUCGAGGAGAGCGAUGACUCUAGGAUUAGAGGAAAUGAAAGGACCCGGUGGCAUGUUGGUUCGUAUAACCGUAGAGUUGUACUUUUUAAUUCGUUCGGCAAAGAACUUGUCGCGUCCUUGG